rnacentral:rRNA from 1 species
GACGAACGCUGGCGGCGUGCCUAACACAUGCAAGUCGAACGGCAGCGCCCUGCGAUUGUGGGCUGCCCGGUUGCGGAACGCGUGAGUAUGAGGAGUGUAUCCUGCUCUACUCUUUGGGGUAGCAUCAGGUAAGUGGGGCUACGAUCGUACCGGAGCCCCCGUAGCGUUGAGGGCGUUGGAACGUCUCUGCGGGCGGGGAUGGACUCGCGGCUGUUGAGUUAGUUGGUGGGGUAGUUGCAUACCAAGGCUUUGACGGGUAGCCGGCAUGGGAGGGUGACCGGCGACAUUGGUACUGAGAUACGGCCCAGACUCCUACGGGGGACAGCAGUGGGGAAUAUUGCCCAAUGGGCGGAAGCCUGAUGCAGAGACGCCGCGUGCGGGAUGACGGCCUGCGGGGUGUGAACCGCAUUCGCCUGUGACGAAGCGUGAGUGACGGUAAUGAGUAAAGAAGCACCGGCUAACUACGUG